UGCAAGUAGAAAUACUAGUGUGCAAAAGAGUAGAAAAACAAAAACAAAUAUGGGGAUGAGGUAGGUAGUUGGUUGGAUGGGCUGUGUACAGCUGCAGCGAUCGGUAAGCUGCUCUGACAGCUGACGCUUAAAGUUAGUGAGGGAGAUAUAAGUCUCCAACUUCAGUGAUUUUUGCAAUUUGUUCCAGUCAUUGGCAGCAGAGAACUGGGAGGAAAGGCGGCCAAAGGAGCUGUUGGCUUUGGGGAUGACCAGUGAAAUAUACCUGCUGGAGCGUGUGCUGGAGCGCGGUGGGAGUUGCUAUGGUGACCAGUGAGCUGAGAUAAGGCGGAGUUUACCUAGCAAAUGUUUAUAGAUGAUCUGGAGCCAGUAGGUUUGGCGAUGAAUAUGAAGCGAGGACCAGCCAACGAGAGCAUACAGGUCACAGUGGUGGGUAGUCUAUGGGGCUUUGGUGACAAAACGGAUGUCACUGUGAUAGACUGCAUCCAAUUUGCUGAGUAGAGUGUUGGAGGCUAUUUUGUAAAUGACAUCGCCGAAGUCAAGGAUCGGUAGGAUGGUCAGUUUUACGGGGUAUGUUUGGCAGCAUACCCCGUAAAUAGGAAGCCGAUUCUAGAUCUAACUUUGGAUUGGAGAUGCUUAAUGUGAGUCUGGAAGGAGAGUUUACAGUCUAGCCAGACACCUAGGUAUUUAUAGUUGUCCACAUACUCUAAGUCAGAACCGUCCAGAGUUGUGAUGCUAGUCAUGCGGGCAUUUCGUUUUACUUGUAUUUAAGAGCAGUUGGAAGCCACGGAAGGAGUGUUGUAUGGCGGGAUUCGAAAUGGUUUGUGAUCUGUUUGUUCACUUGGCUUUCGAAGACUUUAGAAAAGCAGGGCAGGAUGGAUAUAGGUCUGUAAUAGUUUGGGUCAAGAGUGUCUCCCCCUUUGAAGAGGGGGAUGACCACGGCAGUUUUCCAAUCUUUAGGAAUCUCAGACAAUACGAAAGAGAGGUUGAACAGACUAGUAAUAGGGGUUGCAACAAUGGCAGCGGAUAAUUUCAGGAAGAGAGGGUCCAGAUUGUCUAGCCCAGCUGAUUUGUAGGGAUCCAGAUUAUGCAGCUCUUUCAGAACAUCAGCUGUCUGGAUUUGGGUGAAGGAGAAGCGGGGGGGCUUGAGCCAGUUGCUGCGGGGCGUGCAGAGCUGUUGUCCCGGGUUGAGGUGACCAGGUGGAAAGCAUUGCCAGCCGUAGAGAAAUGCUUAUUGAAAUUCUCGAUUAUCAUUGAUUUAUCAGUGGUGACAGUGUUUCCUAUCCUCAGUGCAGUGGACAGCUGGGAGGAGGUGCUCUUAUUCUCCAUGGACUUUACAAUGUCCCAAAACCUUUUGGAAUUAGUGCUGCAGGAUGCAAAUUUCUGUUUGAAAAAGCUAGCCUUUGCUUUCCUAACUGACUGUGUGUAUUGGUUCCUGACUUCCCUGAAAAGUUGCAUAUCGUGGGGACUAUUCGAAGCUAGUGCAGUACGCCACAGGGGGUUUUUGUUUUGGUCAAGGGCAGUCAAGUCUGGAGUGAACCAAGGGCUAUAUCUGUUCUUAGUUCUACAUUUUUUGAAAGGGCAUGCUUGUUUAAGAUGGUGAGGAAAGCACUUUUAAAGAACGACCCCUCAAAGUUAGUGAAAAUAUCUAGACCCCCUGCUCCAGGCCCAAGGAGAGCACUGUUUUGGGCCUAAUAGUUGACUGAAGGGGUUUUAUCCUUCUGGUGCUGGUAAUAGGCCUUGUUACAAUGGCUAAUGUAAUAAUAACACCGGUUAAUGUUAGAACCUUUCUAUUUGUAAUAACACAUUUAUGUAAUAAAACCGGUUAAUAUAAUAACUUGCCGGUUAGCGUAAUAAAAUGUUGAACGGUUAACAUAAUAACUUUUUCCGGUGGAUGUCAUUUUUUAGAUUAACCGAUGGUGAUUAAUUUAACCGUGUGCAUGUAGUCAAGGAGAUGUACAGUUGAAGUCAUAUACAGGCUCAAAUCGGCAGCCCAGCAGGCCCAUUCAGGGUGGUGAAUGGAAGCAGCUCCUGCGCUCGGAGAGCAGAGGUGUUUUUCUAUGGACACUGGAGGACUGUAUUGUGGCUUGAAAGCAGCUAAUGUGUGGAGAAAGAUGGACUGUGGGAAUGCUGUAGCUGCAACUUACAGACCUCAGUUUGGAGGGAAGUGGAGGAUACCAACUAGCAUGUAUUGAUUGCUAAGGUCAGGAUUCUACUCUUGAGCAGUGUACAUUAGUCUCACAUGGAGAUGGUGUCUUUGAGCAUAAGCAUAAUUAUGCUAAUGUCAUCUGCUCAGGUAAGAUUGAUAUGUGUUGUAUUAAAGAUUGUAUCAAACAAAAUUAGGAUAUUUUAGAUUUUCAUUUAAUAUUCAAUAUUCAUAUUUUGGGGGCUGAAAAUACUAGUACCAUCAACAAAACUGAAUGUUCUACCGUCUCUUUUUGUUCAGAUUUUGUCAAGUUUGUGGAUGAAGCUGGUUUCUGCUCUGGAAGAGUGGAGCUGAAGUCCAAUCAGUCCUGGACGUCAGGGUGUGAAGCUGACUUUGACUGGCAGGAUGCAGAGGACGUCUGUCGGGAGCUUGGCUGUGGCACCUUGUUGAGAAUAGAUAAAUAAAUAGUAUGUACUCUUCUUUCUCCAGAGUCUGAUGAUGUGAGGCUGGUGGGAGGAGGCAGUCGCUGCGUUGGUAGAGUGGAAUGGUACCAACAGGGAAAGAGGAAUAUGUGGCCUGUAAAAUAUGGCUGGAAAUUGAAGGAUGUCGCUGAUGUUUUUGUGUAGACAGCUGGACUGUGGCUCCACUGUUUCAACACUACUUGGGAAAAUGCACUGAAGGGUUUGAAGUGUACUGUAAUGGACCUGAGCCGGCGCUCAGGGACUGUGGAAGAGGCACAGGGCCAACUUUGGUGACUCCAUUAAAGGUGAUCUGCUCAGAUCUCCCGCUUAAGCCUGAUAUCUCCAUGACCAUCUCAAUGGGACGGGUCUCCAGGGGCCACCAAAGGACUCUAGAGGUGUUCAGGGGCCACAGCUUCACCAGCACCUGCUCCACUCAGCCACAGCACCCGGGUGUCUCCUUCCUCCUCACGUACCCUGACUCCAAAACAACCCAGACCUAGCCAGCUGUCUAUCACUCUGCUGCCUUCCUCUUUCCCGCUGCAGAUGGCUUCCACCAAGGGAACUACAGCUGUGUUCAUGAGAUUUAUGUUUUUUCACAUGACUUCUCUUCUGAGAGUGAGCUCCUCUCCCUCACUGUCACAGUCUCUCCUCUGACAGCUUUCCACUGUCGGUGAAAGCCAACUCCACCACCUAUCUGUACAUCAAGACCACCAAGAGGCCGAAGCGAGUGGAAGGGGUGAACUUGGAGAUGGUUUCUCUGAAGUCUACAGCUGUAGCCAGAUGGGGAGAGGAGAGAGCAGCCCAGGGUACAGAGUAGGGUGAAGUUGACUGAAAAGUCCAAGUGGGGUCCUUGGGAUGAAAGUUGAAAUUGAAAGUUAAAAUGUUUAAAAUGUAGUUGAAAUCUAAAACAUUUAACGUUGUAAAAAGUUAAGGGUUAAGGUUAGGGUUAAGGUUAGGGUUAUGGUUAUGGUAAGGUUUAGGGUAUCGAUGUCCCAAGGUUUCCGGGUGGCACUAACUGAAGUUGACCGUAGAGACGUUGACCUUAGGUCAGUUUUUUGUUUUCCAGAUAUGAUGGGACUGGUGUGGAUUUGAGGGGACUUUAAUCCCCAUCCAAUCUAAUUAAAUGAGUGGUAAGUUUCCAUUGAUGUUGCUAUUGUUAUGGCUACACUCCUAUUGUUGUAGUUGUCAUUGCUGCCAGACAUAAGAGUUGGCCAGAGCACAGUUAGCAUUAGCCUAGCUUAGCUGAGACAUGAUCAUAUGUCAGCGUAGGGCUAGGUUGCCCCGAGGUGCUGCUCUAAUAUCAACCACCAGCUGUCUCCACUGCUCCCCUCUAAGCCCCACUCGACUUGAGGGGUAACUUGUUCUUACCCUGGGUAACCAACUGAGCGCUCAAGAUACAAUACAAGAUACAAUACCUAAAUCCUAACCUUUGUCAGGUUAUAUCUGUGACAGUUUUUUUGGUUUUAAACUCAACUCUUGAGAUGGAUAACAAAGACAGUUACUUAAUAUAAAGCAUUGAGUUUCCAUUCAUAUAUAGCUACUAAUCACCUUGAGGGGAAAAAAAUGGGAAAAGUCACAUCAACUAAUUUGAACGUUUUUUUAUUUAAGUGAAAGACAUGAUAUUACACGUGACAUGAUAGCUAAUAAAGAUGUACACAUCAUUUAUUACAAGAAUUGUUUGGAAUCACUUCCCUGUGCUCACUCAAAACCUCCACUCCUUCAGUCUGGGUUAGACACACAGAUGGCAGCCAAUCUCUUCAGUAAAUAUCAGUAGUUUCAUUGACUCCAGCUCAGAAUAAAGAGAAAACCCUAACAAAACGAGUGGUAGAAACCCCAUCAGAGGACACAUUCUGCCCACAGAGUCCAAUCAUGGCUUCAGAGAGCUAAAUAACCAUGGUGAUAUUGUCUGAACAGCUGUUUGUGUGUGAAAGUGAGAGUGCAUUGCGCAUAUAUGUUCCUGUGACUUUUUGCUAUUUUGCUAUUAUUAGCAUCAAAUGAUGUUAUUUGUGUGGGUCAGUGCAAAUAGUGUACAUGUGGGUGGGUUGUGCGUGUGUGUUCAGCAGUGGGUGAUCAGUGUGUGCACGGAGGUGUGUGCGAGGGAGCUGCGUGAAGGAUUAGCCCCAGUGUGUGUCCACCAGUGAUUAGCCUGGUCAGUGGGCCUGUUGUGCAUUCACCCAGUCCAUUAGCAUAUUAAUGCUGCCUCCCUCUUGAUCUCUCUGUCUCUCUCUUUUCUCCACCCUCUCUCUUUCUCUUUCCUUUCUAUAGCUAUUUCCCGAGUCUCGCUCGAACUUCCUCCCUGGCAAUUUUUUUCUCAACUUAUUUUGUACUUCCCUUUCUCUCUGCGCUCAGUUUGGGCCCUUCGUACUUUACACAUUUCUCUCUUCCUUGUUCUCUUGUCUUUCCCUCCAAAAAUGUCCUAUUGCCCUUUUCUCCUCCUUCUUUCUCUUCCGAAAUCCCUCCUUCCCUGAUAAUCCCAGUCUCUCGCCCCAAGCCCCGUCUCUCCCUACAAUCUCCAAAUCCUUUACAGUGCUUUACUUUCGCUCUCGUUUUCCCUAUUAUUCCGUAGCCUAACCCCUGAACCUUGCCAAACACAGGCAAAUGCAAACACACACACCUCACUUCAUUCAUUCAAUCUAAUUUUCUCUCACUCUCUCCCCUUUCCUGCUAGAAGUGUGCAUCUUGUGAGACCUUUUGUGAAUAGCUUUGAAAGAAAAAGCAACCUAGAAAACAGGGACUGAAGUGCAAACCGGACACAUUCAACAGUACUUAACAUUAUAAAUGCUAUUCAUUUCUCCCUCUAAUGACUUCAGCCUCCAAGUAGACUCAACCUCUUGUUCUGGCUCUUAACCGCCACCGUGAGCCACGUUUAGAAGCUGGAGAAUAGUAGAAGUAAAAAUAAUUUCUUGGAAAAAGCCCAGUGUGCUAAAGGUGAGCAUUUAUACCCACACGUUUCCUUCUGUCCCUUCCAUGUCUGCAUUACUGGAGAUUUCUGGAGGUCAGGGGCGUGAUGUCCAUCCACAACUCCUGGUUUCAGGGAGGCAGACACAAGAAUUGCGUUUGGACAAUCAGCUCCGGACCCCCUGGGUCAGCACAUAGCAGGGAUGGAUGGGCAGACGUUUGGAUAGACAUAGGGUACAGAGAAACGUAUAGGGAAAUUAAGGCCUCUGAAACCCUAACUCAACCACCCUUUCUGUAUGUUCAUGACACAAUGAUGAACGCAGGGUCACUUUGCAGGGCAGCACCCCAAGGCAGCAGCAAUGUGACCCAUACAAAAGGGCUCCCCAUGGUCACACGGAUCAAAGAGACAAAAGCUCCCUAUGAUAACUUAGUGCAGCCGAGUGUUAACACAUGAGCAGCCAAGGUAAGAGCUGGAAACAAAAGUGAGAAGUUGAAACAAAAGUAGCCCCCCAAACUGAAUUGCUCUAUGCAACAUUUGUCUUUCAAUAUGAGCUGUGUCAAAAUGAAUAAUAUGGGCCGCUUUCGAAAGGCCUCAGCCAUUCAUUGAUGCUCCAUGUGCUGCUCACAAUUGAAGAGCAGCCCCGUACGCCCCAC
rnacentral:lncRNA from 1 species